UAGCAUAUCAAUAAGCGGAGGAAAAGAAACCAACAGGGAUUGCCUUAGUAACGGCGAGUGAAGCGGCAACAGCUCAAAUUUGAAAGCUGGCCCUUUCAGGGUCCGCAUUGUAAUUUGUAGAGGAUGAUUCGGCGAGGGCUCCCGCCUAAGUCCCCUGGAACGGGGCGUCAUAGAGGGUGAGAAUCCCGUAUGCGGUGGGUUGCCUUAGCCAUGUGAAUCUCCUUCGACGAGUCGAGUUGUUUGGGAAUGCAGCUCUAAAUGGGAGGUAAAUUUCUUCUAAAGCUAAAUACCGGCCAGAGACCGAUAGCGCACAAGUAGAGUGAUCGAAAGAUGAAAAGCACUUUGGAAAGAGAGUUAAAAAGUACGUGAAAUUGUUGAAAGGGAAGCGCUUGCAACCAGACUUGUCCGCAGUUGCUCAGCCGGUCUUCUGACCGGCGUACUCUUCUGCGGCCAGGCCAGCAUCAGUUCGGGCGGUCGGAUAAAGACCUCGGGAAUGUAGCUCCUCUCGGGGAGUGUUAUAGCCCGGGGUGGAAUGCGGCCAGCCUGGACUGAGGAUCUCGCUUCGGCAAGGAUGCUGGCGUAAUGGUUGUAAGCGGCCCGUCUUGAAACACGGACCAAGGAGUCUAACAUCUAUGCGAGUGUUUGGGUGUCAAACCCAUACGCGUAAUGAAAGUGAACGGAGGUGGGAACCCGCAAGGGUGCACCAUCGGCCGAUCCUGAUGUCUUCGGAUGGAUUUGAGCAAGAGCAUAGCUGUUGGGACCCGAAAGAUGGUGAACUAUGCCUGAAUAGGGUGAAGCCAGAGGAAACUCUGGUGGAGGCUCGCAGCGGUUCUGACGUGCAAAUCGAUCGUCAAAUUUGGGUAUAGGGGCGAAAGACUAAUCGAACCAUCUAGUAGCUGGUUCCUGCGA
rnacentral:rRNA from 1 species